rnacentral:rRNA from 1 species
GAUGAACGCUGGCGGCGUGCCUAAUACAUGCAAGUCGAGCGAACAGAUAAGGAGCUUGCUCCUUUGACGUUAGCGGCGGACGGGUGAGUAACACGUGGGUAACCUACCUAUAAGACUGGAAUAACUCCGGGAAACCGGGGCUAAUGCCGGAUAACAUUUAGAACCGCAUGGUUCUAAAGUGAAAGGUGGUUUUGCUAUCACUUAUAGAUGGACCCGCGCCGUAUUAGCUAGUUGGUAAGGUAACGGCUUACCAAGGCAACGAUACGUAGCCGACCUGAGAGGGUGAUCGGCCACACUGGAACUGAGACACGGUCCAGACUCCUACGGGAGGCAGCAGUAGGGAAUCUUCCGCAAUGGGCGAAAGCCUGACGGAGCAACGCCGCGUGAGUGAUGAAGGUCUUCGGAUCGUAAAACUCUGUUAUUAGGGAAGAACAAAUGUGUAAGUAACUGUGCACGUCUUGACGGUACCUAAAGAGAAAGCCACGGCUAACUACGUG